rnacentral:rRNA from 1 species
AACUAACAAGGAUUCCCUUAGUAACUGCGAGUGAAGAGGGAAAAGCUCAAAUUUAAAAUCUGGCAGUGUUUCACUGUCCGAGUUGUAACCUAGAGAAGUGUAACCUGCGCUGGACCGUGUAYAAGUCUCCUGGAAUGGAGCAUCACAGAGGGUGAGAAUCCCGUCUUUGACAUGGACCACCAGUGCAUUGUGGUUGUGCUCUCAACGAGUCGAGUUGUUUGGGAAUGCAGCUCUAAAUGGGUGGUAAAUUCCAUCUAAAGCUAAAUAUUGGCGAGAGACCGAUAGCGAACAAGUACCGUGAGGGAAAGAUGAAAAGAACUUUGGAAAGAGAGUUAAACAGUAUGUGAAAUUGUUGAAAGGGAAACGYUUGAAGUCAGUCGCGUUGGUUGGGGAUCAGCCUGACAUUGUUGGGUUUACUUCCUGGUCGACGGGCCAACAUCAGUUUUGACUGCCAGAAAAAGGCCAARGGAAUGUGGCACCUUUGGGUGUGUUAUAGCCCUUGGUCGUAUAUGGUGAUUGGGACUGAGGAAAGCAGCGUGCCGAAAGGCCGGGUUUCGACCACGUUCACGCUGAGGAUGUUGGCAUAAUGGCUUUAAGCGACCCGUCUUGAAACACGGACCAAGGAGUCUAACAUGCAUGCGAGUGUUUGGGUGGAAAACCCUUACGCGUAAUGAAAGUGAAAGUUGAGAUCCCUGUCGUGGGGAGCAUCGACGCCCGGACCAGAACUUUUGGGACGGAUCUGCGGUAGAGCACGUAUGUUGGGACCCGAAAGAUGGUGAACUAUGCCUGAAUAGGGUGAAGCCAGAGGAAACUCUGGUGGAGGCUCGUAGCGAUUCUGACGUGCAAAUCGAUCGUCAAAUUUGGGUAUAGGGGCGAAAGACUAAUCGAACCAU